AGCUUGCUUCUCUGAUGUUAGCGGCGGACGGGUGAGUAACACGUGGGUAACCUACCUAUAAGACUGGGAUAACUCCGGGAAACCGGGGCUAAUACCGGAUAAUAUUUUGAACCGCAUGGUUCAAUAGUGAAAGACGGUUUCGGCUGUCACUUAUAGAUGGACCCGCGCCGUAUUAGCUAGUUGGUAAGGUAACGGCUUACCAAGGCGACGAUACGUAGCCGACCUGAGAGGGUGAUCGGCCACACUGGAACUGAGACACGGUCCAGACUCCUACGGGAGGCAGCAGUAGGGAAUCUUCCGCAAUGGGCGAAAGCCUGACGGAGCAACGCCGCGUGAGUGAUGAAGGUCUUCGGAUCGUAAAACUCUGUUGUUAGGGAAGAACAAAUUUGUUAGUAACUGAACAAGUCUUGACGGUACCUAACCAGAAAGCCACGGCUAACUACGUGCCAGCAGCCGCGGUAAUACGUAGGUGGCAAGCGUUAUCCGGAAUUAUUGGGCGUAAAGCGCGCGUAGGCGGUUUCUUAAGUCUGAUGUGAAAGCCCACGGCUCAACCGUGGAGGGUCAUUGGAAACUGGGAAACUUGAGUGCAGAAGAGGAGAGUGGAAUUCCAUGUGUAGCGGUGAAAUGCGCAGAGAUAUGGAGGAACACCAGUGGCGAAGGCGGCUCUCUGGUCUGUAACUGACGCUGAUGUGCGAAAGCGUGGGGAUCAAACAGGAUUAGAUACCCUGGUAGUCCACGCCGUAAACGAUGAGUGCUAAGUGUUAGGGGGUUUCCGCCCCUUAGUGCUGCAGCUAACGCAUUAAGCACUCCGCCUGGGGAGUACGACCGCAAGGUUGAAACUCAAAGGAAUUGACGGGGACCCGCACAAGCGGUGGA
rnacentral:rRNA from 1 species